UACGGGGGGGGCAAGCGUUGUUCGGAAUUACUGGGCGUAAAGGGCUCGUAGGCGGCCAACUAAGUCAGACGUGAAAUCCCUCGGCUUAACCGGGGAACUGCGUCUGAUACUGGUUGGCUUGAAUCCGGGAGAGGCGCGUGGAAUUGCAGGUGUAGCGGUGAAAUGCGUAGAUAUCUGCAGGAACACCCGUGGCGAAAGCGGCGCGCUGGACCACUACUGACGCUGAGGAACGAAAGCUAGGGGAGCAAACAGG
rnacentral:rRNA from 1 species